GGCCUCCUUCAGUCUUGGCUUAGGGCUUUCCUUACGGAGAGAACCCAGAGGGUUGUCUUUGACAGUGGAACAUCUAAAGCCGUCAAGGUCACCUCUAUCUGGAGUUCCGCAGGGUACUGUGUUAGACCCUCUACUCUUCCUGCUCUAUAUCAACGACCUACCCGAUUCCGUAGACUCACAUGUUCGACUAUUUGCUGACGAUUGCUUUAUUCAUCGAACUAUCAGCAAGCCUUCUGAUGCUUUAGGAGGGUCAUCUGGGGGUAAAAAGAACAAGAAGAAGCCUGCCUUUAACUAAUUGAAAUUUCGCUUUGUUGCUUCCAUAGUGCCAUCAAGGUGACGUCCAGAAAGAUCGGUGCUCGAGUUAACGCCCUGCCAAGGGACCUGAAACUAAGUUAAGUUCUUACAUGUCUUCUCCGUUGUAAACAUAUCGCAGGGAUGGGCUGAGGCUAACUUUUUAUCGACAUGAUAGGACUUAAAUUAUUAGUUGUGAUGUUUCGUUAACUGAACUCUUAGUUGGAGGUAAGGUACUUGAAUGUGUUCUGUUGACAUUCCGAGCGAUGUUGUCGGGAGGGGUUUACAUUAGGACAUUUUAAUUUGUAAAGGGAGGCUCCUUUUGCAUUUAAGGCUUCAGUCCGUUUCUGUGGUGUACAGGCCUGGUGUGUGGCAGGUUUGGUUUCUGUGAUUGUGUCGAUGGCCGGGAUGGCAUUCGGUCAAUAAUUUCAAAUUCUGUUCUUUACAAAACAGGGUCUUCCCUGGUUCACCAUCUGUUGUCAUUUCUGUUUUAUGUCAUGGUCAGUGGUUUUCGGGGACCUAGACCAUUACAUAAGCUGCCUCGUGUUGUUUUCUUGGGUCCCGAACCAAGAGAACGACACAGGCCAGAAAGGAAGACAGGUGGCUGAAGAGCCUAUUUAAUAUUACUAGUUUAGUCGUUUAGAUAAAACUUGCCAUCUCGGCGUCGACAUAGUCACAGAAACUGAAUCAGCUAUGCAUUGGGCUUGUAUAUCACAGAAGCAGACUGAAGCAAUGAGUGCAGAAGUAGCCAUUGCUCUCGAAAAUUCAAGCAAAACGAAGGCAGCAUUAUGCCAAAAGCAGCAUUACUUAGGAUUUCAUCAUAGCACACUCAACACCCUGCCACCAAACAAGAGAUAAUGAUUCCUCUCGCUAUUUCUAUGUUAAAACUAGAACUGAAAUUACAAACAUUGACAAAACAAGUGAACUUCCUGUCAUGCCAACACACGUAGCUGAGCUUUCUUUUAGGUAUAGUGUUAGGUAUAGUCUUCCCAUAUUUUUGAGUUAGGUUUAAUUUUUGUCUUGUCUUUUCUCCCGAGGAUCAUCGCACCAUAAGAAGAAAUGUCUGGACGCGGAAAGGGAGGCGAGGACCGGCGAAGGAAGGUGCGGAACGUGAACGAACGGGCUUCGCAGUCUUCUAUGACAAGAUUUGCUAGAAGUGUCUGGGCUUGGUAAGCGAGGAAAGCCACAUGGGAAUAGAUGUUUCAAAGUGUCACCGUCACCGUGCUUCGUGACAACAUCCGGUGCAUCACCAAGCCAGGGCACGAGUCUUUCCCGACACAGACAAGCAAUAUCUGGACGUUACCGGUACCGUCACCAAAGGCGCUGCACAACAUCCGGGGAGACGGCGGUCCUGGAGGAAGGCGUCUUAGUGUCUCCCCUCGUGGCUGGAUUUCAGAAGCCUCUGAGAUGACAAAUGUCUGGACGCCAAAAGGAAGGAGAGGUCAAGCGUCACCGUCACUGACAUGACAAUAUCGUGCUUCGUGACAACACCACGUGCAUCACCAAGGAGGUGGACAGUCUUUCCCAUAUAAUAAGUU